rnacentral:rRNA from 1 species
UACGUAGGGUGCGAGCGUUAAUCGGAAUUACUGGGCGUAAAGCGUGCGCAGGCGGUUGUGUAAGACAGAUGUGAAAUGCCCGGGCUUAACCUGGGAACUGCAUUUGUGACUGCAUGGCUAGAGUUUGGCAGAGGGGGGUAGAAUUCCACGUGUAGCAGUGGAAUGCGUAGAUAUGUGGAGGAACACCGAUGGCGAAGGCAGCCCCCUGGGUCAAGACUGACGCUCAUGCACGAAAGCGUGGGGAGCAAACAGG